UCUAAAAGUGAUCUGAAUCCAAAAGAUGAUCCAGUUCAAAAGAUCAUCAUCCAGAUGCUCCAGGUCUAGAAGAUCAUCAUCCAGAUGUUCGAUGUUUGAACAUGAUAUUCCAAAUCCAGAAGAUCCUCCUCCAGAUCCGGUUGAAGAUGAUCGAUGUUGAAGAUGAUGUGAUGGCGGUUCGAUGUUGAAGAUGACCCAAAAGAUGUUCGAUGUUUAAACAUGAUGUUCCAGAUCUAGAAGAUCCUCCAGGUCCAUAAUUCAGUGGAUGUCCGUUUAUAAGGUGGAUCGACCAACCCAUGUGCCACCGAUUUGCUAUGAUUAUUCCGGGACUAUUGAGAACUAUUAACAGGCUACAAGUUAAGGUUAUAGCUCGUGAAGAUGAAAUUAGAAAGAAGAAAACCAUUACUUGAUUUAUCAUUUUCGUUGUUGUAACUUCCACAAUGUUUGUUUGUACUCCUGGAUUGAUUUCAAAGUUUUUAUAUUUAAUGUGUAACUUUCCUUUGGCU